AGUGAACGCUGGCGGUAGGCCUAACACAUGCAAGUCGAACGGCAGCACAGUAAGAGCUUGCUCUUACGGGUGGCGAGUGGCGGACGGGUGAGGAAUACAUCGGAAUCUACUUUUUCGUGGGGGAUAACGUAGGGAAACUUACGCUAAUACCGCAUACGACCUACGGGUGAAAGCCGGGGCUCUUCGGACCUUGCGCGAUUGAAUGAGCCGAUGUCGGAUUAGCUAGUUGGCGGGGUAAAGGCCCACCAAGGCGACGAUCCGUAGCUGGUCUGAGAGGAUGUUCAGCCACACUGGAACAGAGACACGGUCCAGACUCCCAAGGGAGGCAGCGGUGCGGAAUAUUGGACAAUGGGCGAAAGCCGGAUCCAGCCAUACCGCGUGGGUGAAGAAGGCCUUCGGGUUGUAAAGCCCUGUUGUUGGGAAAGAAAAGCAGCAGGUUAAUACCCCGCUGUUCUGACGGUACCAAAAGAAUAAGCACCGGCUAACUUCGUG
rnacentral:rRNA from 1 species